CAUGCAAGUCGAACGAGAGACUCUUCGGAGUAGUAAAGUGGCAAACGGGUGAGGAAUACAUGGGUAACCUACCCUUGAGAAGGGAAUAACCCGCCGAAAGGCGAGCUAAUACCCUAUACGCUACAGCCUCCAUGGGGGAUGUAGGAAAGCUAAGCCGUGGGCUUGGCACUCAAGGUCGGGCUCAUGUCCUAUCAGCUUGUUGGUAGGGUAACGGCCUACCAAGGCAACGACGGGUAGCUGGUCUGAGAGGAUGAUCAGCCACACUGGCACUGAGACACGGGCCAGACUCCUACGGGAGGCAGCAGUGAGGAAUAUUGCGCAAUGGGCGAAAGCCUGACGCAGCGACGCCGCGUGGGGGAUGAAGGUUCUCGGAUUGUAAACCCCUUUCGUGAGGAAAGAGAAAGUGGGUAACCACUUAGACGGUACCUCAAGAAGAAGCCACGGCUAACUUCGUGCCAGCAGCCGCGGUAAUACGAAGGUGGCGAGCGUUGUUCGGAUUUACUGGGCGUAAAGAGCACGUAGGCGGUUAGGUAAGCCUCUUGGGAAAGCUCCCGGCUUAACCGGGAAAGGUCGAGGGGAACUACUUAGCUAGAGGGCGGG
rnacentral:rRNA from 1 species